CUGGAGUGCAGUGGCGCGAUCUGGGCUCACUGCAAGCUCCGCCUGCCAGGUUCACGCCAUUCUCCUGCCUCAGCCUCCCGAGUAGCUGGGACUACAGGAGCCUGCCACCACGCCCGGCUAAUUUUGUUUUUGUAUUUUUAGUAGAGACGGGGUUUCACCCUGUUAGCCAGGAUGGUCUUGAUCUCCUGACCUCGUCAUCCGCCCGCCUUGGCCUCCCAAAGUGCUGGGAUUACAGGCGUGAGCCACCGCGCCCGGCCGGGGUUUUCCAUUUGAUUUAGUUCUAGGAAAUCAGUGUGAAUCUGCCUUAGGUUCCCUGCCUUCAGACAGUAUUCUCCUGCGGCAACACUUUGCUGACAACUAUUCUUGAAAAUACGGGGAUUGGUAUUUUCAUGGUGGUUUUCAUGGGGCUGAGAACUUAGAAGAUAAUGACUGCUUCCUUCAUCUGGGGAUGGGAUUUAAAUGUAAUGGAGCACUCACUGUUUUCUUGAGAAGGUGGGAGAUACUAGCUUCCUUAGAAAGAAAAAGGGGUGCGAGAGGCAGGAUUUUAGGAACUCAAAUCUAGGUGGGAACCGGGGAGCAUGAUUUCUUUUUUCUUUCCCAAUCCCAAUCUUCUAUUUUGUAAUUCUGUAAUUUUAAAAACUUGACUGUACUCUUGUGGGGGUUUUUUCCUCCCUCAAUAUUUUUGUCAAGUGCAACCAGGAAAGGGCUUGGGGGUGCUGCACCUCAGUCCAGUAGAGGUUUCAUAGUAAAGCAUCUUAACUUGGAGGAAGAGGAGGAAUAAGACAACUGUGCAUCUCUUAAGGAUCCAGAACAUGGACCUGCACCUAGUGGAUUCAUGGUAGGCAUUCAAUAAUGUUUGUUGAAGGAAGAAAUUGAAACCCUAGAAAAGGGAGGCAGCACUACUGGUUAAAUUAACUCCUGCCCCACCUGGAGAGUCUCUUGUCUGUCAUAAACUUGUAAGAAUUUCUUUUGUAUUAAAAUAGAAGGCACCUUAGGUAAGCCAUUCGUUUUCUUUUGUUAGUACAGCACUGGAAAUUUACAAAGCAUUUUAAUCAACAUAAUCCCAUUUAAUAUUUAUUAUUGAUCUUGAGGUUAAAAUACACACACACACACACACACACACACACACACACAGAGCUGGGGUUUUAUCACUUGGGAACCAAUAACCUAACUAGCAUUCACCAAAACUUCUGGUUUGUAUAAUAAUUGUUACUUAAAUUAAUUAUGUAAAUUAAAAUGAUUUAAAGCAAUGGUUUAAAUUAAUUCAUCUUUUUACUUAGAAAGUUAUUCGAAAAGUUUAUAUCACUACUGUGAAAUCUCAAGUUGAUGUGCUAUAGUUCAUUUUAAGUAUAAAAUGUUUUACAUGACUAAUAAAUGAUUUAAAAAUGCUUGUGACCCACCUGGCAUCGUGAAUCACGCCUGUAAUCCCAGCACGUUGGGAGGCCGAGG
rnacentral:lncRNA from 10 species